rnacentral:tRNA from 1 species
GGUUCUUAUAUUAAAAAGGAAAAAUGUCUUAAAGCGACAUAUUUGGUUCAAUUCCAAAUAGAACUA